AGGUAUAAAAGUACAGUCCUGUGCCAAUGAAGGGAAUGUUGGUGUUACCCUGGCCCAACAGAAACAAGGAUAUUUUCACCGUCCCAGUCAGAAACCCUGGUGAUUUUCUGAAAGAAGUCUGGGCUGGAAGUAACAUUUUUGAAGAAGAGCAGCAUGGAUUUUCUGGUGACUGUACCUGAAGAUCAUUUAUCAUGAUUUGGGGGGAAAAUUAAACAAAGCCAAACUUAAUUUAAAAGGCUACUUUCAAUACAUUUAAUAAAAAUAAAAAAUAAAAUGCCACACAAGUAAGCCA